GAACUUAAGCCCCAGUAAACGGCGGCCGUAACUAUAACGGUCCUAAGGUAGCGAAAUUCCUUGUCGGGUAAGUUCCGACCCGCACGAAUGGCGUAAUGACUUGGGCACUGUCUCGACAACAAAUCCGGCGAAAUUGUAGUGCAAGUGAAGAUGCUUGCUACCCGCGAUUGGACGGAAAGACCCCGUAGAGCUUUACUGUAGCUUAGCAUUGAGUUUCGGUAUUGUCUGUACAGGAUAGGUGGGAGACUGCGAAGCAGGGGCGUCAGCUUCUGUGGAGUCACCCUUGGGAUACCACCCUGACAGUACUGAGAUUCUAACCGGUGGCCAUGAAACUGGUCACGGGACAUUGUUAGGUGGGCAGUUUGACUGGGGCGGUCGCCUCCUAAAAUGUAACGGAGGCGCCCAAAAGUUCCCUCAGUGCGGUUGGAAAUCGCGCGAAGAGUGCAAAGGCAGAAGGGAGCUUGACUGCGACACAUACAAGUGGAGCAGGGACGAAAGUCGGGCUUAGUGAUCCGGUGGUUCCUCGUGGGAGGGCCAUCGCUCAACGGAUAAAAGCUACCUCGGGGAUAACAGGCUGAUCUCCCCCAAGAGUCCACAUCGACGGGGAGGUUUGGCACCUCGAUGUCGGCUCGUCGCAUCCUGGGGCUGAAGUAGGUCCCAAGGGUUGGGCUGUUCGCCCAUUAAAGCGGCACGCGAGCUGGGUUCAGAACGUCGUGAGACAGUUCGGUCCCUAUCCGUCGCGGGCGUAGGAAAUUUGAGAGGAGCUGUCCUUAGUACGAGAGGACCGGGAUGGACUGACCUCUGGUGUACCAGUUGUUCCGCCAGGAGCAUGGCUGGGUAGCUAUGUCGGGACGGGAUAAACGCUGAAAGCAUCUAAGCGUGAAACCCACCUCAAGAUUAGAUUUCCCAUAGCGUAAGCUAGUAAGACCCCUAGAAGAACACUAGGUUGAUAGGUUAGAGGUGUAAGCAUGGCAACAUGUUCAGCUGACUAAUACUAAUAGGUCGAGGGCUUGACCAA
rnacentral:rRNA from 1 species